CCUACGGGUGGCAGCAGUGAGGAAUAUUGGUCAAUGGACGAGAGUCUGAACCAGCCAAGUAGCGUGAAGGAUGACGGCUCUAUGGGUUGUAAACUUCUUUUAUAUGGGAAUAAAAUGUUCCACGUGUGGAAUUUUGUAUGUACCAUAUGAAUAAAGAUCCGCUAACUCCGUGCAAGCAGCCGCGGUAAUACGGAGGAGCCGAGUGUUAUCCGGAUUUAUUGGGCUUAAAGGGGGCGUAGGUGGAUUGUUAAGUCAGUUGUGAAAGUUUGCGGCUCAACCGUAAAAUUGCAGUUGAAACUGGCAGUCUUGAGUACAGUAGAGGUAGGCGGAAUUCGUGGUGUAGCGGUGAAAUGCUUAGAUAUCACGAAGAACUCCGAUUGCGAAGGCAGUUCACUGGACUGCAACUGACACUGAGGCUCGAAAGUGUGGGUAUCAAACAGGAUUAGAUACCCCUGUAGUC
rnacentral:rRNA from 1 species